UCAAAAACUGUGCCAAAUGAUAGAUGCCUUUACUUUAAGCCUAAUUUAGCAUUAUUAAUUUAAUUCUUAACUGCAGGUAUAACCUUUGUUAAACUAUCUGCUAACAUUUCGCUUGUUGAAAUAUAUUUCAGCUGCAAUGAUUAUCUCGUAACUUCUCUCCUUUAUUAUUAUUGUUCCGAACAAUGUGAAUAGCGCUCUUGUUAUCACAGUACAUUUUUAUCCCUUCUGCACUACCAUGAAUUAGUUUAUACUCUACCCGAUGUAACUAAAUCGCUUCUUGCAUUACGCUCAUUACAGAUGUUAGCUCCGCUUCAGUUGAUAUCACACGAGGCAAUGACCUUUGGCGGGAUUUUGAGAAAAACGAUUCAGCAACUUGACUGCAAAGCCUUUAAUAUGGAACUUUUUACAUCUCUUUCUUUUCUUCUUCAGUUUUUGGGCCAAAGAUGUACACGAGUUGAUUCACUUUUUUCCUAUAUGUAUGUACUCACUGUCUUUGUUUUGUUUUAAAUUAUCAGCAUGUGCUAAUAACAUUGCUUGUCAUUUACUCAAUCAGUCUUUAAAUGCCGCUAGCAACAACCACUCAAAAAUUAUAACUGUGUUUUCAGUUGUAAGCAAAACAAUCAAAUGAUUCAUAAAAGCUCAGAUUACAUAGUGCAAAAUCAAUGUGUUAAUUUCGUUUAAAUAAGUUUUCAAGAUAAACUCUGAAAUAAUAAAAAAAUAUUGAAAACGGUGUUUUUCGUAUUGUAAAAAAUAAACAAAGCAGAAGUAAAAUUUAGGGAUAUUUUUUGUCAAAUUGAAAAUGACGAAAGUAUGGUUAUUGAUGGAGUGGUGAGAAGUAACCAUAUCAUGACGAAUAAACAACAUAGCAGACGACAAAAGAAUACUAAUGAUGGAGGAAUUGAAAUUAGCAAUAACAAGCGGAACGGCGUCCAUAACAUCAGAUCUCUGGACUGACAAUUUUGUCAAAAGAAAUUUCUUAUGUGCAACAUUUCAUUUUAUGAAAGAAUUAAAGUUAAAAGAAAUUGUUUUAGGCGUAAAA